UUCCUCCUUGUCUCGGGGAGCAUAACGUCCAAUGAACGUAUAGUGAGGACGUUGAUGCUGACACCCAGAUUAUACCAGGACCUAAUCGUCUUGGGAAAAACUCCCGCCCGAGGUGAUUGCUUUCGAACAGUGGCCACCUGGGCGGAAUUUUUGGAACG
rnacentral:ncRNA from 14 species